AUUGAACGCUGGCGGCAUGCCUUACACAUGCAAGUCGAACGGCAGCACGGGUGCUUGCACCUGGUGGCGAGUGGCGAACGGGUGAGUAAUACAUCGGAACAUGUCCUGUAGUGGGGGAUAGCCCGGCGAAAGCCGGAUUAAUACCGCAUACGAUCUACGGAUGAAAGCGGGGGACCUUCGGGCCUCGCGCUAUAGGGUUGGCCGAUGGCUGAUUAGCUAGUUGGUGGGGUAAAGGCCUACCAAGGCGACGAUCAGUAGCUGGUCUGAGAGGACGACCAGCCACACUGGGACUGAGACACGGCCCAGACGCCUACGGGAGGCAGCAGUGGGGAAUUUUGGACAAAGGGCGAAAGCCUGAUCCAGCAAUGCCGCGUGUGUGAAGAAGGCCUUCGGGUUGUAAAGCACUUUUGUCCGGAAAGAAAUCCUUGGCCCUAAUACGGUCGGGGGAUGACGGUACCGGAAGAAUAAGCACCGGCUAACUACGUG
rnacentral:rRNA from 1 species